AUUGAACGCUGGCGGCAUGCCUUACACAUGCAAGUCGAACGGCAGCACGGGAGCAAUCCUGGUGGCGAGUGGCGAACGGGUGAGUAAUAUAUCGGAACGUGCCCAGUCGUGGGGGAUAACGUAGCGAAAGCUACGCUAAUACCGCAUACGAUCUAUGGAUGAAAGCGGGGGAUCGCAAGACCUCGCGCGAUUGGAGCGGCCGAUAUCAGAUUAGGUAGUUGGUGAGGUAAAGGCUCACCAAGCCGACGAUCUGUAGCUGGUCUGAGAGGACGACCAGCCACACUGGGACUGAGACACGGCCCAGACUCCUACGGGAGGCAGCAGUGGGGAAUUUUGGACAAUGGGCGAAAGCCUGAUCCAGCCAUUCCGCGUGCAGGAUGAAGGCCCUCGGGUUGUAAACUGCUUUUGUACAGAACGAAAAGGUUUCUACUAAUACUAGGAGCUCAUGACGGUACUGUAAGAAUAAGCACCAGCUAACUACGUGCCAGCCGCCGCGGUAA
rnacentral:rRNA from 1 species